rnacentral:misc_RNA from 1 species
UUCCAUUUCAUUGCAAUUUGAGACCAAAAGUGAAAGAACAAACGAAAAACAGUGAACAAUUUCCCAUGAAAAUGUAAAUUUUACAAAAAAAAUUUUCACCUUUUGUUAUUUGAACUACCAUUUUCAUUGCCCUACCAUCUGCUAAAUGCACAAGCCACUAGAUUCCUAAUUGCAAAGAGCCCAAGCUUCGCUCUAAACAAAGCCAAUCUCCCAUUACUAUUCGAUGGACCACCUGCAACCACUAUUUGACCACUCAUUUCAGGAAACUCUAAACCACUUUCUUGGCCUACACCAUCACUCAUACUAGCAUCUAAACCUUCAUUGUCACUACCAGCAGCAUCAAAAUUAACAACUAGCGAGGCUUUUUGCCGCUGCAAGCACUCCACAACUUCACUGCUCACUCCUCUGCAUUGC